rnacentral:rRNA from 1 species
AGUGAACGCUGGCGGUAGGCCUAACACAUGCAAGUCGAACGGCCUCCCCGGAGAGCUUGCUCUCUGGGUGGUGAGUGGCGGACGGGUGAGGAAUACAUCGGAAUCUACUUUUUCGUGGUUUCGAACGUAGGGAAACUUACGCUAAUACCGCAUACGACCUACGGGUGAAAGCAGGGGAGCGUCGGACCUUGCGCGAUUGAAUGAGCCGAUGUCGGAUUAGCUAAUUGGCGGGGUAAAGGCCCACCAAGGCGACGAUCCGUAGCUGGUCUGAGAGGAUGAUCAGCCACACUGGAACUGAGAGACGGUCCAGACUCCUACGGGAGGCAGCAGUGGGGAAUAUUGCAAAAGGCGCGCAAGCCUGAUCCAGCCAUACCGCGUGGGUGACAACAGACUUCGGGUGGGACAGCCCUUUUGUUGGGAAAGAAAUCCAGAUGUUUAAUCAACGGUUGGGAUGACGGUACCCAAAGAAUAAGCACCGGCUAACUUAGAGCCAGCCGCCGCAGUAA